rnacentral:rRNA from 1 species
CCUACGGGUGGCAGCAGUGAGGAAUAUUGGUCAAUGGACAGAAGUCUGAACCAGCCAUGCCGCGUGCAGGAAGACGGCUCUAUGAGUUGUAAACUGCUUUUGUACAAGGGUAAACCUGAAUACGUGUAUUCAGCUGAAAGUACUGUACGAAUAAGGAACGGCUAACUCCGUGCCAGCAGCCGCGGUAAUACGGAGGAUCGAAGCGUUAUCCGGAUUUAUUGGGGUUAAAGGGUGCGUAGGCGGAUUGAUAAGUUAGAGGUGAAAAGUUCGAGCUUAACUCGGGACCGGCCUCUAAUACUGUUGAUCUAGAGAGUAGAUGCGGAAGGCGGAAUGUAUGGUGUAGCGGUGAAAUGCUGAGAGAUCAUGCAGAACACCGAUUGCGAAGGCAGCUUACCAAUGUAUAUCUGACGUUGAGGCACGAAAGUGUGGGGAGCAAACAGGAUUAGAUACCCUUGUAGUC